GAUAGCGCACAAGUAGAGUGAUCGAAAGAUGAAAAGCACUUNGGAAAGAGAGUCAAACAGUACGUGAAAUUGUUGAAAGGGAAGCGCUUGCAACCAGACCUGCCCGUAGGCGAUCAACCGCUGUUCUCAGCGGUGCACUCGCUCUGCGAUCAGGCCAGCAUCGGUUUCGGCGGUCGGAUAAAGGCCUUGGGAAUGUAGCUUCCCCUCGGGGGAGUCUUAUAGCCCUCGGUGCAAUGCGGCCAGCCGGGACCGAGGACCGCGCUUCGGCUAGGAUGCUGGCGUAAUGGUUGUAAGCGACCCGUCUUGAAACACGGACCAAGGAGUCUAACAUCUAUGCGAGUGUUUGGGUGUCAAACCCAUGCGCGGAAUGAAAGUGAACGGAGGUGAGAACCCUUAAGGGCGCAUCAUCGACCGAUCCAGAUGUCUUCGGAUGGAUUUGAGUAUGAGCAUAGCUGUUGGGACCCGAAAGAUGGUGAACUAUGCCUGAAUAGGGUGAAGCCAGAGGAAACUCUGGUGGAG
rnacentral:rRNA from 1 species